GCGGAGGGGUUCCACGCGUACCCAUCCCGAACACGACCGUUAAGCCCUCCAGCGCCGAUGGUACUUGGACCGAAGGGUCCUGGGAGAGUAGGACGCCGCCAAGC
rnacentral:rRNA from 1 species